CCUACGGGGGGCAGGAGUGAGGAAUAUUGGUCAAUGGACGAGAGUCUGAACCAGCCAAGUAGCGUGAAGGAUGACUGCCCUAUGGGUUGUAAACUUCUUUUAUAUGGGAAUAAAACGUUCCACGUGUGGGAUUUUGUAUGUACCAUAUGAAUAAGGAUCGGCUAACUCCGUGCCAGCAGCCGCGGUAAUACGGAGGAUCCGAGCGUUAUCCGGAUUUAUUGGGUUUAAAGGGAGCGUAGGUGGAUUGUUAAGUCAGUUGUGAAAGUUUGCGGCUCAACCGUAAAAUUGCAGUUGAAACUGGCAGUCUUGAGUACAGUAGAGGUGGGCGGAAUUCGUGGUGUAGCGGUGAAAUGCUUAGAUAUCACGAAGAACUCCGAUUGCGAAGGCAGUUCACUGGACUGCAACUGACACUGAGGCUCGAAAGUGUGGGUAUCAAACAGGAUUAGAUACCCUUGUAGUC
rnacentral:rRNA from 1 species